rnacentral:rRNA from 1 species
GACGAACGCUGGCGGCGUGCUUAACACAUGCCAGUCGAACGGAAAGGCCCUGCUUUUGUGGGGUGCUCGAGUGGCGAACGGGUGAGUAACACGUGAGUAACCUGCCCUUGACUUUGGGAUAACUUCAGGAAACUGGGGCUAAUACCGGAUAGGAGCUCCUGCUGCAUGGUGGGGGUUGGAAAGUUUCGGCGGUUGGGGAUGGACUCGCGGCUUAUCAGCUUGUUGGUGGGGUAGUGGCUUACCAAGGCUUUGACGGGUAGCCGGCCUGGGAGGGUGACCGGCCACAUUGGGACUGAGAGACGGCCCAGACGCCUACGGGAGGCAGCAGUGGGGAAUAUUGCACAAUGGGCGGAAGCCUGAUGCAGCAACGCCGCGUGCGGGAUGACGGCCUUCGGGUUGUAAACCGCUUUCGCCUGUGACGAAGCGUGAGUGACGGUAAUGGGUAAAGAAGCACCGGCUAACUACGUG